rnacentral:rRNA from 1 species
UGAGGAACAUGACUUUCGGCGGGGGAUAGCCGGCCCAACGGCCGGGUAAUACCGCGUACGACCCAAUGGAGACAUCUCCGCUGGGUGAAAGCAGCAAUGCACCGAAAGAGUGCCUCGCGGCCUAUCAGCUAGUUGGUGAGGUAACGGCUCACCAAGGCGACGACGGGUAGCUGGUCUGAGAGGAUGGCCAGCCACAGUUGGGACUGAGACACGGCCCAGACUCCCGUAGGGACGG